rnacentral:tRNA from 1 species
GCCUUCGUGGUGCAAUUGGAAGCAUACUCGACGCAUACUCGAGACGUCCAGGGUUCGAGUCCCGCCGAGGGCA